AAGGGGGACCCUGUGGGCUUUAUACAAGAGGGAAUGCUGAAAAAGCUCCAGCGCUUCUGUAUGUACUUGUGCCAAAUCUUCCCUGCCUGAGGUGUCCUGAGGCAAGCCCAGGGAGGACAAACUUGGGGAGCAUAAAAGGCAAAAGUACACUUAAUCUUGAUUUUCAGUGGGAAUCCAGGCUAUGCUAGUGUGGCUUCAGGAUCUUACGACUUUUUAGGUUUUAAGCAAGAGAUGUCAGAAAAGUGACCACAGAGAAAACCACCCUGCAGCAGUCAAGCAUUAGCAAAGUUACUUCAACCUUUUGAUGUUGGCCUUUCUUGUCACCAAAAAAACAGAAUUCUCCAAGUGUUGGUCGGAUCACCCAUUAACAAUGAACAUGAGCUGGGUUUAGACUGCCGUGAGACAAGUGAGUUUUAC
rfam:Phaethon lepturus contig46188, whole genome shotgun sequence.